rnacentral:rRNA from 1 species
GUGGUGUAAGAUGGACCCGCGUCUGAUUAGCUUGUUGGCGGGGUAACGGCCCACCAAGGCGACGAUCAGUAGCCGGCCUGAGAGGGUGAACGGCCACAUUGGGACUGAGACACGGCCCAAACUCCUACGGGAGGCAGCAGUGGGGAAUAUUGGACAAUGGGGGGAACCCUGAUCCAGCGACGCCGCGUGAGUGAAGAAGUAUUUCGGUAUGUAAAGCUCUAUCAGCAGGGAAGAAAGAAAUGACGGUACCUGACUAAGAAGCCCCGGCUAACUACGUGCCAGCAGCCGCGGUAAUACGUAGGGGGCAAGCGUUAUCCGGAUUUACUGGGUGUAAAGGGAGCGUAGACGGCGAUGCAAGUCUGAAGUGAAAGGCGGGGGCCCAACCCCCGGACUGCUUUGGAAACUGUAUGGCUGGAGUGCAGGAGAGGUAAGUGGAAUUCCUAGUGUAGCGGUGAAAUGCGUAGAUAUUAGGAGGAACACCAGUGGCGAAGGCGGCUUACUGGACUGUAACUGACGUUGAGGCUCGAAAGCGUGGGGAGCAAACAGGAUUAGAUACCCUGGUAGUCCACGCCGUAAACGAUGAUCA